CGGUCAUCAGAUUGAGAGUAAGCAAAUCGGUGAUGCUGUAAAUGUUAUUGUGUUGUGUGCAAUUAUUAAGUCAGGAUUUAAUAUGGAUAUUAUGGUUUAAUAAUGCCAGGAGCUACUUCAUUUCAUCUCUAACAACGGACGGCCUUUUCUGUGGAGACACAUCUACUCUUUUCUGAUGCAAUGUCUUUAAUAUCAUAUUGUGAACCCUAAAUUCAAGUUACUCCAAUAAUUUUUAGGCUUAAAUCAUUUUACUUAAAAUGAUUAAUUCAAAGUUAACGGGAGGUGGUAGCCAUCGUAUUUAUAAUCAGUUGUUAAAUAUGAUACUAAUUAAAUCACGCACGUAUACCUACAGAUACCCAUCUCCUUCCCUCAUUUCAUUAUUUUAUUCUCUUCCAUUUCAAUUCUUUUUUCUCAUUUCUCUCAUUUUAUUUUCUAUUCUCUCUUCAUUUUCUUCUAUUUUUUUUCAUUUUCCAUAAAUUUCUUUUAUCUUACUUCUCUUUUAUCUUUUUCUCUUAUUCUUUCUCUCAUUUUCUUCCCUCUUCCCUUGUUUGCCUUUAUCACGAUAAAAAAAAAUCAAUUUUGUAACUGAUUAUUGUAAUUGACUGAAAUCAG
rnacentral:misc_RNA from 1 species